CUGCCUGGGGGAAGCUUGUCCUAUCUUCUCUCCCAGCUCUCCCCAGCUCUGCUUUGCUCUCCUGCCUUCAGCCACACAGCAAUGAGAGCUUUGCCCUCUCCUGUCUGGCAGAGUAUUUAUUACAGGGAAACUGACGUUACAAAUCUCCCAUUUUCCAUCCCCAGAAGCGCUCCCGACGUGCCCCACUUGACUCCCCACCCGACCACACCAGGGAAUCGUGGCUGAGAAGGUUCUGUAUAAAACUGCCACAGAGAGGGAGGAAGGAUAAGAAGGAGGCGCAGAACGUAGAGCAGAAUAGGGCAGGGAGCCCCUCUGUCUGUUGUUCCUGUUUCCCUCCUAUUCAUGGCGCUUCCCAGUGCUGCUCCCUGUUUACCAAGUCCGAAUUGCUAUGGAUUCAACGCAUCAGGGAUGCCUAUGAGUACCAGAGAAAAGCAUCCCAGGAAGACACAGAAGAAGUAUGAAGAAGUAAGGAGGAAGACUUUCAAGAAGUUAAUGGGAUGCCAGCAAUUUUUCACCUCCCCUUUUAGAUGAGGCACACUUUGGAUGCUGUUUCAUUGGCUGUUGUUAUUCCCCCGGUUGCUUUUUCCUUGACUGUUAUUUUCAUGCCGUUAUUUUCAUCCUGAGGGAAAGCCAGAGGGUGCUGCAGGCAAGCACAAGCUCUGGACACCGAGAGGAGGCAUCGGUACCUCAGGGUUUUCCUCAUCCCAUGUUGCAAUGUUCUCCCUGCAUUCAAUAAAAACAAAGUUUGUCCUUGUU